GCAAGGGGCAAUUUCGUCAUUUUUCUCGACAGUGUCGGAAUGGGCUCAAAUUUGACAGGUUGAUCGGAAACAAAAAUUGCGCCGGAGCAAUUUCGGCAUUUUUAGCGACUGUGUCGGAAUUGGCUAAAAUUUGACAGGUUGAUCAGAGACAAAAAUCGCGCCGGGGGCAAUUUCGUCAUUUUUCUCGACUGUGUCGGAAUUGG
rnacentral:lncRNA from 1 species